UUCUUAUUCAUAUCAAAAUUUCUGCCAAUAGACAGCUCAAUAUUUGAUUUACCGGAUGAAGAGUUCUUAAAGAAUUUUAUCGAUGAAGUUCGCAAUGAAAAACCCUUCUUAACAGAUAGCUACACUCUAAGUGACAGAAGAAGAAAAGCAAUGAACAGACGAAAUGCUGAAGAAACGCAAGGCUAUAUAUUCAUGUUUGAAACGGAUAAGUAUGGUCCACGGGUGAUAACUCUUCUGCCUAAAAUACCGGAAAUAGUUUCUGAAAAAUUGAUUAAGUAUCAAUAAGAUCGAAUGAUUGGCAUUAAAGUAUGAAUAAUAAAGAUGGAAAAU